ensembl:lncRNA
CGCUCUUCGGCCCUGCCACGGGAAGCCCUGCGUCUGCGCUUUCCAGCCCUCCCUGCUGUCGGGGCUCAGCCAGGGAGGCUGUUGGCAGCCCCUUUAUCAGGAGGUGGGAAUGCCUGGGGCCCAGGCAAUGGGACAUCAAAUGUCCUUGACGGAGAAAGGGUAAUUUCAUCCAGGUUCCUCAAACACUCGGAAUGGAGCCAGCGUGUGGCACGCUGCAGUUGGCUUCUGGGUGCUCACAUCCAAGGCUGCGGAGCUGGUGUGGCAAGGAGACACCUACACGCCACGUCCACCACAGCUGAGGAAAAACAGUGCACCCAGGCAUGCCCCACCAAUGAGCGUGUGAAGGGACAGUGGACGCGCAUGGCAGCAUGCCGUGAGCCUCACAGAAGAGGGAAACAUGUCCUUUCUGACACACAGGUGCCUGAGCAACCAGGCACAAAUGUACAGCUGCCCCUGAAGUGUGUUUCCCUGCAAUUCAGCCUGUCCACUGCGGCCCCUCUGCACCUGGCUGGAGCCCAGAGGAGGACCUGGGCCUGCGACACCCUGCUCAUGCUCCGCCUGUCCUGCUCCCUCCAGGUCAGGGGUUUGCCGAGUCCUUCCCUUCCCUGCCCUGACCCCUGCCCUGACAAAGCCCUCCCGACGGAUGCAGGUGCCGGUAGAUAAAGGACAGGGACUGACGAUGUCUUACUGCAUCUGUGCACAUUUUAGUCAGUUCACCAAGCACCUCCCAGGCCGCAGGGCCCAGCGGGGCUGCGCUCCUGCCUGGCCCUACUGGUCCCAGUCCUUGACGAUGCUCAGGACGCCCCGCUCAGGGGCGGGGCCUGCCAGCCUGGCCAGCACGUCCAGCCCUCCGUGCUCCUUCUCCCUGGAGGACACAAAGUGGGCAGCUCCUGCACCCGGACCCCGGGGCGCCCGCCCGUGUCCCCGUCCCUGUCCCCGUGGCCUGCGCAGCUCCCGGAUCUGUGCGGGCCAGGCCGAUUGGGACCGCAGGGCAGGAGCCCGGGCACCGCUUACCGGAGGACAACGUUGCAUGCCUGCGCGGUGGCCGCUGACCAAGGCCUGCUGGCCCCGCUCCCCAACAUCGUUCCCGCUCACGUCCAGGUGCCUCAGCUCCAGGACAUGCAGGUGGCAGCUGGGGCACGCCAGGGCCUCGCACAGAGUGGCGGCGCCGUCAUCCCCGAGGGUCAUUGAGGCUGAGGUCCAGGCUUUGGAGGCGCGCUGCUCUCUCGAGAGCUGAGGCCACGUCCUGACAGCAAGCCGAGGUCAGAGCACACCUUCUCAGCCUGCAGAGGAGCCCGGGUCACUGAGCACCCAGACAGCCACAUUUGCUCCCCACUGCCCCCCUUGCAGAGCACUAAGUCAUUCCUAUUUCUCACUCUUCCCCAGGCUUUCUAGCUCUGGUGAAACAGAGAACUUGCUUUCCCUCACCAUGGCUUUCCUCCUUUUCGGACAUAUCCUGUGAAGUGCAUGGUGUAGUACGUGACCUUUGGGUGCUUGGUGUCUUCCACUUAGACUAUUCUCAAGGUUUCUCCAUGUCUUAGCAUGAACCAGCAUGUUCCUUUUUAUGGCUGCAUAGUAUUCCAGCGGCAAAGUUACGCACAUUUUCUUUGUUCCUUCAUUGGUUUUCAGACACAUGGGAUCUCGCCUCUUUACUCCUGUGAAUGCUGCAGGAAUAUGUGCAGGUUUUCGUGUGGAUGUAGGGCUUUAUUUUCUUGUGUUUGUGCCUAGCAGUGAGACCGAGGACUCAUGUGCUGACUCUGUCUUCCACCACUUGAGGAACAGCCAAGAACGUCUUCCUGAAGUGCCAGCACCUUCUCCUGCUUCUCCGGGGAAAGCUCAAAGUGUCAGUGCUUCCUCAGGUAUUUUGUGCCUCUUUCAGCAUUUCAGAAGCAUUUGCAGAAAUUCCCAAGCGUCACGCACUGCAUCAGGCCUGGGGGCCCCAGAGGCACAGCCCCUGCCCUGGGGAGCUCGGGCCCAGCAAGAACCAAACACAAAGGUGAACAGGCCCGGUGUGUCCGUCUGGCAGGAGGCUCCAAGGUCUCCCUGCCCCUUCCCGCUCAGGCGCCUGCAGCCUCCCAGGACCCGGUGACCAGGGACGGGGUGGGCCCAGGAGGGGUGGAUUUCAGACACGAGGGCACUGUUUACGGGGCUGGAUUGCCUCGGCCCCCGCCUCUGUGGGGUGUGGCUCCCUCUCACGGGAUGACCAGGGACCCCGCUCUGGUCCCCACAGCAGGCAUGGGCGCGUGACCCAGAGGCCCACACCUGCAGACUCCGGCGACUUUUCCUCUCGGAGACACAUCGUCAUCGGCCUCACACUUGCCAUCCUCCUGCCUCAGCCUCCCAGAGUGCUGGGGUCACAGGCGUGCACCACCAUGCCUGGCUCCGUAUUUAAUUCUGUGCUGAACUUCCUCCCGUGACAGCCAAGUGAGACCUCCCCAGGAGGAAGGCAGCGUGACCUGGACACUGACCCUGAGCCCCCGCCCGGCUCUUGUGAUGAGCAGAUGUCGCCGUCCUGCGCAUCUGCAGGGCCCUGGGUGCCUGGGCCCCGCUAACCUGCCUCUUCAGUGGAAAUAACACCCUUUUCCUGACUGCUGUCCCCUGGCACAAGCAUGGCUCCAAUAGGCCUCUGUGGGUCACACGUGUGCCACAGACUAGAACACGAAGCAGGUGUGCUCGGCACUGCUCCCCGCACGCCGAGCCUCAAGGGGAGGCACCUGGGGACUCACACCAGCCUCUGGAGGGGCAGCGCCGCGCUUGCCAGGCUCUCCCAGAUGUGCCUCGCCCCUUCAUCCUUCAGGGCAUUGCCCGCCAGGCUCAGGUGCGUCAGCGUCCGGCUGCUCCCCAGGGAGACGGCCACGCCCGGGCAGGCCAGCUUCAUGAGCCCGCAGCCUCCAGCCUGGGGACAGAGACUCGAGGUGAGCUGCGGACAGGUGGCCGGGUGUGGGGAUGCACGCCUGUGACCCCAGCCCUCUGGGAG